AGAUCAGGCUCACAUGUGUCUGUGAAGAGUGACCGGUCAAAGAAUGGUCACAUGCUGAACUUCAGUGAGAAAAAAACAUCUAUCAAAAGUGUAAGAUCAGGCUCACAUGUGUCUGUGAAGAGUGACGAGUCAAAGGGUGCACCACCAAACUUCAGUGAAGAAACAUCACGAACCAAACAGCUUCAGUAUGAAACAUUAGAUCCAGAUUUACAGUCUCACAGGAACCACAAGCAUUUUACAGACAGUCUCCUGCAGAUCUUCCAGGAUCUUGAGA